rnacentral:rRNA from 1 species
AUUGAACGCUGGCGGCAGGCCUAACACAUGCAAGUCGAACGGAGCGGCGGACGGGUGAGUAAUGCCUAGGAAUCUGCCUGGUAGUGGGGGAUAACGUCCGGCAACGGGCGCUAAUCCCGCAUACUUUCAGAUGAGCCUAGGUCGGAUUAGCUCGUUGGGGGGGUAAAGGCGUACCAAGGCGACGAGCCGUAACUGGGCUGAUAGGCUGAUCAGGCACACUGGAACUGAGAGACGGGCCAGACUCCUACGGGAGGCAGCGGUGGGGAAUAGUGGACAAUGGGCGAAAGCCUGAUCCAGCCAUGCCGCGGGUGUGAAGGAGGUCUUAGGAUUGUAAAGCACUUUAAGUUGGGAGGCGUUACCAGCAGAAUAAGCACCGGCUAACUUCGUGCCAGCAGCCGCGGUAAUUC